rnacentral:snRNA from 1 species
GCAGGUGAGGGCGAUCUGACUGUGACAUCUGUCACAUCACUGAUAUCCAGGGUUGAUCUGGCUGACUGGACUGGCUAGGCCAAUGCCCCUCUCGACCUUUACUGUUCCAUGUGUGUCUCUCCCACUCUCCCAACUCCUUCCACUCCACCUUGUGAGCCCCCAUCCUGUUUUCCCUACUGUCCUUUCUCUGGAAUUAAGUGAGGUUUAACUUCUUACUGAUGACCUCUCCUUGGGUUCCUCACUGCCCUGGAUAUUACCUUCCAUGGAUGACGGUCUUCCUUUCACUUCCAGGUGAAGGAAGCAGUAACUCUUCUCUCU